rnacentral:lncRNA from 1 species
CUAGUUACAGCCCAGAUCUCCAGACUCUGAGUCAGUUGACUUGCUUUCUUUUUUCUGCAGACUUGCUCCAUAUGGAACUGUGUAAGUGUUUUUCUCAAUUUUAUAUUCACUGUUGGCUAAAAGUUAAUGCAUUGACAACUUGAAGACGAGUUGUACACCUGUCACUAUGAGUGAAUCCCUUUGCCACAUCUGCACAACAGGUCUACAUCCUGUUCUUGCUCAGGAUGCUGUCUGUCUACAAUAGGAGCAGCCACAAUACCUCCUCAAGGGAACGACUUACAGAAGAAAAGCCUAACAAAUGAGAAAACAAAAGGAAGCAAAGAAGUCUUGACGGCAUUGCUGGAUUCUGUGGUCAGCUAUCUCUACAUUCAGCAUUGUGAGAGACAUUACAUAUUUUGGUUGUUCAGAUCAAUGUUAGGUAUUUUGUUGGGACAAAAGAUAUUCACUGCUGUGCUUGCAACUUUUUUCCAUUUAGGCCUUCCAAUAAAAUUGAAGUGGUAUCUCAUUUUUUGUGUUAAUUUGAAUUUCUCUGAUAAUUAGCAAUAUUACUCUUCGUUUUCUUUUUUUGAAGGUUUCUAUUUUGAAUACAAAUUUUCAUAUGUGUGGCUUUUAGGGAUAUAGUGUUUCUUUCCCCCCAUUCCCACCAUCCCACCACAACACCCAUCCCACCUCCCCUCCCCCUCCCAUUCCAUUUUUAUUCUCAUUGGAGCCUCCUUUAAGGGGUGAGGAAUGGUCGCUUCAACACUGGUUGAAAAAGAAAACAUGUACUCUGUUGGGUGAAAAAUUAUUUCUAUUAUUAAGGAUAUCAGUGCAGAUAUAUAUUAUUAAUUUGAGAGUAUUCAAGUUUUCUUUUUGUUGUUGUUUUGUUUGGUUGACCUUUCAGAUUUGGAUACAAUUAUGUAUGUUUUAAACAUUUACUUUUCUAUUGAAAGAGUAACAGGGAGGGGGCAGAGAGAGAGAAAGAGAGAGACAUAGCAAAAGAGAGUGAGAUCUUCAUUUCAUUCCUUCACUCCCCAAAUGGUCACAAUGGCUGUGGCUAAACCAGGCUGAAAACAGGAGUUUUGAACUCCAUCCAGGUCUUCCAUACUGGUAGCAAGGACCCAAGUACUGGGGCCAUCAUCUGAUGCUUUUCCAGGCACAGUAGCAAGGAGCUGGACGGGAAGUGGGGCAGCCAGAAUUCAAACCAGCACUCUAAACCAAGAUGCCAGUGUUGCAGGCAGCAGCUUACCCACUGCACCACAAUGCUGGCUCCCACAGUUAUAGUAAAAACCUCUAAAAGCAAUUUUUGGUCAUUCCACAUCUUUUCACAUUACUGCUCUUGUUUCAC